AACGCAAAUUGCGCUCGAGGCUUCGGCCAAGAGCAUGUCUGCCUCAGCGUCGGGUUAAAACUCGCCCUACCUUACCCCUGUGGUGAGGUGUUGGAGCGGUACUGACUGUCUCAGCACACACACAUGUACUUGUGUACUGUACUGGGUCGGUUGAAGUUUGCAGCUGCUGAUACAUGGACCCGUUAUGGGCCUCUACUGGGUAGGCAAUUCGUUGCUGCAAUGCUUUAGUAGAUGGCUUAGGAUCUAUGUGUGUCAUGCACAAACCAGGAAACUUAACCUUUUUUCUCGACCUGAGCUCAGGCAAGAUUACCCGCUGAACUUAA
rnacentral:misc_RNA from 1 species